rnacentral:rRNA from 1 species
AUGGGGAAGAAGGCCGCCGCCGUGAUCUGCGGGACGGCGAGCGUCCUAGGCCUCCUCGCGGCUAUCCUAGGAUUCGCCGGCGAGGGCACCAAGUCCCAGUCGUUUGUUGGGUUCGACGGGGUGAGGUGCGUGUACCGGAGCACGGCGGCGCGGGGUUGCGGCGUCGCGGGCGCGCUGUUCCUCCUGGCGGCGCAGGUCCUCCUCGCCGCCGCCACCGGCUGCUCCGGCUGUUGCCGGCCAGAGACGCGGAAGAUCCCGUCCGAGACCAAGCGCGUCUUCGCCGUCGCCAUGUACAUCCUCUCAUGGAUCCUGAUGUUCAUCGCGGCGGCGCUGUUUUUCAUCGGCGCGAUGUGGAACACGGCCGGGAAGCGGAAGCCGGCGGAAGAGACCAGCACCGCCGAGGACUGCUACGUGCUGCAAACUGGGGUGUUCGCCACCGCGUCCGCGCUGUCCCUCAUCGUCGUCAGCUUCGGCAUCGGCUCCUACUUCCUGCUCGGAGCGUCGGCGCCGCCACGGGAGCAGCAGCCGGAGAUCGCUCUGGGGCAGCCGCCACCCUACUUCCAGGCCCAGCCCCAGCCCCACGGCGGCUAUCCGGCCGGUACCACCUGGCAGACACGCGUUUGA